UAUUAUAUAUUCCAUGAGCUAGGCAUUUAACAUUUGUGUCCUGUACUGUAUCCAUGUUAUAGCUUGUGUUUAGAAAGUUCUGACCAUCCUAGAAGAGAACACUGUUGCUUUGCCUGGCAGAGUUGUGAGAUAUGGGCAGAGGCUAAUCCAAGUUACCCAUCCUUUCUCAGAAGCAAAAGGAAUCAGGAGAGUUGGAAAAGUGCCCAAAGUUGACCUGAAUUGAGAAAAUUUUUGUGAGACCUUAGUAGUGAUAACUCAGGCCAAGCCCGAAUCUGAGUCAUCAUUUUUAUGUGCCAGCUCUGAUGGAGAGCUGUGGAGGCUGGCUGGAUGCACCCGCAAAGGAGAAUGGGCCACAGGAAACACCCGGCAGAAAAAAGUAGCAGCACCUGAAGUCCAGGCUUCAGGGACAGACCCAUACUGUGCCAGCAUGGAUAAGUGGCCACAGGUCCCAGAUUUAAAGACGCAGCUGCAUAGAAAGGUGAGUUAGAAGGAAUGGUCAUAAAGGUAAGGAGGAGGCUGUAAGCUGACACAGCAGACUUCAGUGCUUCCUUUACUGAGGACUCGCCAUGACACUGUCCUCCUCCUCUCGCAGAUUCACUCGGACUCUGUCACAGCCCUCCAUGUGCUGCCUGAGUUGCUGGUGACAGCUUCAAAGGACAGAGAUGUUAAGCUGUGGGACAGACCCAGUAUGCAACUGCUGGGCCUGUUCUGAUGUGAAGGGGCAGUGAGCUGCCUGGAACCAUGUCUGAGACCUGACUCGACCCUGCUGCUCGCUGUAGGAGACUGUACACAGGGCAAUGUAUACUUCUUGUCCUGGGAAUGAGAGUGCACUACUCAGGGCCGAGUUGAUACCACUUAAGCUAGAGAUGCAAAGCCUGAAAGUAUGUGGCUACCUCCUUCCUCAGAUUGUACAAAUUAAGUGCCAGAGUGUCUUAAGUACA